AUUGAACGCUGGCGGUAUGCUUAACACAUGCAAGUCGAACGAUGAGAAAGAGCUUGCUCUUUCGAUUAGUGGCGGACGGGUGCGUAACGCGUAGGAAUCUACCUAUUAGUGGGGGACAACUUAGGGAAACUUAAGCUAAUACCGCAUACGCCCUACGGGGGAAAGAAGGGGAUCGCAAGACCUUUUGCUAAUAGAUGAGCCUGCGUAGGAUUAGCUAGUUGGUGGGGUAAAAGCUCACCAAGGCGAUGAUCCUUAACGGGUUUGGGAGAAUGUUCCGUCACACUGGAACUGAGACACGGUCCAGUCUCCGACGGGAGGCAGCGGUGGGGAAUAUUGGACAAUGGGCGAAAGCCUGAUCCAGCCAUGCCGGGUGGGUGAAGAAGGCCUUCGGGUUGUAAAGCACUUUAAGCGAGGAGGAAUGGCUCUGGGAUAAUACCCUUGGGCAGUGACGUUACUCGCAGAAUAAGCAUCGGCUAACUCUGUGCCAGCCGCCGCCGUAACAC
rnacentral:rRNA from 1 species